UCUCAUGGCGCUCAACGUGUUAAUCAUUAAAACAUUUUUUUUUUUAAUAACUUAUAUUGUAUUUGAUUUUAGGUUAUCUUAAUUUCACUCGAACCAAAUGAAAAUGGUGUAUAUAUAGCUACAACUGAAGAUAAAAAACAAAACGAUUAAAAGAUACGAACAAUAUGUCAGAAUUUAGUUGUUCUUUUGAAAAAGUUAAAGAAUUCAAGGCUUUAGAAAUUGUUGGCGUUAAAUGACAAAUGGUAUAGAGGAAGAAUGAUAUUAUGUUACAAUGAAUUUCAAUUUAAUGAUACAAGAAUUGAGUUGAUUGAUGUUGAUUCUUUUUAUCAAAUUAAACUAGAUAAUUUGUUUGUUCUUCCGUAAUUCUUUUUGUAUGAACAAUUAAAUAUCAGAGCAUGUAGCAAUAUCGUGGUGUACUCGGAGUGUCCGAUAAAUACCAACACCACUUACAGAGAGUCCCAGAAACUACAGCCAUUACCGCACAUAUGCUGUCAAAUGUGGACUAAAUUUGUCAAGCAAGUAAUGAUUUCAAACAAUUCAAACAAUAAUAAGCCACCAUCUGCAAAGAGUCAUUCAUGGCUCUCUCCAGAAGCUAUGUGGUGUGGCCGGUUGCCACGAUCACCGCAUCAUCGGCGAAGCACACGAUAUGGAUGCCAUCCGGAUAUCCCAACCGCAUUAGUCCAUCAUAGAAGAUGUUUCGCAAUAUAGCUCCUUCUCAAGAAACGCUCUUGAGACCGCUGCUUCCACCACGUCGGCCGUUCAAUCCUUGGCUAUAAGCCCUGUUUGCCACACCGUCUAAAGGUUAGGAUACGCCAUAUGUAGUCCAUUUUGCAAUGAAACAUUUAUUUAUGAAAUAACUUCCCUAUACCAUCUUCAUCAGGUGCAUAUCCUACUAAAGCCACCAACAUACGUAGGCAGGGAAAAUUCAAAGAAUAUGUUAAAUAUGAUUGCAAGUUCAAUUUAUCAGUUCCCCCAAAACAGAUACAUAACAUCGUUAAGUCACAUUUAUUGAACAGUUACGGUUCAAGAAUUAAAAGUACUGAGAAAUUUAAUUAUACUUUAAUCACAAAGUGCAGUACAAUCCAAAGUUUAAAAUAUCAAAAAAUCAAUAUACUCUCAAGAUACAAAAAUAUAGAUAAUAUUAUACACUACGUAAAGGCAGACAGGCUGGCUGAAUAUAUUAUGGAUUCAAAGCCUCACACAUUAAGAAAUAUAGCAUCAAGAUUCACGAUUGAAAAAAUAGAUAAAAAAAAAGGGAGGAAAUAGCCAUAAAUAAAAAAUCAUCAAUAGACAUAAUUAAAAGUGAAGCCGUUAAACAAUAUUGUAAAUUUCUUUUAACUAAUCUACCAAUCAAAAAUCAAAAGCAAUCAGUCAUUUCCGAACUUAACUCAAUAGAAUUUUUUAAAACCAUCACUCCAUCAAUACAUAAAACAUUCAAUAUAAACGAUCUCGUGCAAUCGGCCACCUCAAUACAAUUCAUUGAUUACAUAUUCAGCUGUGUUAUACUAUAUUGCUCCCCUGAUAUCCUUCAUGAUGUCCAAGUGUGUGAAGUGGAUACGUUAGAAGAAAUCUAUAAUCAAAAAAAAAAAAAAAAUUAAUACAAAUGAGUAUAAUUAUUAACUAUAUAGUAAAUUAUUAUCAACAAAUAAAGGGAUUGGUAGAUGACAAAGGCAACGCCAUUCUGAAUUGUCUACCAUACAUAAAUUGUAACCAUCUUUAUUCAAUGGAUAAAACAUUCCAUGAAUUCAUAAUGGCAGUAGAAUCAUGGUGACGGAAUCCAUUUAUUGAUCUAAAUUAUAAAAACACAAAGUUAACAACAAGGGUUCCGGAUGUCAGAAUUCAAAUUGAUGACAAGUCAGUCAUUGAAUUCUUUACCCCAGAUCCAAAUAUCGAUGAUUACAAUACAGCAUUAGUAUUGACUUGUGUUUAUGUAUAUUAUGAAAACUUAAAUUUUACUCAAAAGUACACAGUUUUUGAUGUUGGCAGAUGUAUUCAAAUUCAGAAUCAACUUCAUUGCUUCCACUGAAAAUAUUUUAAAAUAUUCGUGCAAUCAUACCGCACCACCCUGGUGUGGGGUUAUUACACGUGCCGCGUUUUUUUAUAGUGGUGUCGCCUGGAGCCCUAUUCCACUGACAUUAUUAAUAAAAUAUGUUUUAUAUGAAUGCAAUUGCACCUUGCGUGCGUUAGCACUUCAUCGUCACUGUAGAACUAAUAAAUGAUUAGCCAAGGUAGUCUGAUGGUAGAUAAGUAAUAAUUAUUUAUUGUAUAAAAAAAAAAAAAAUUAGUAUAUUCACUGCAAAAUGAUACUUACUUGAUACUUACCUUUGCUCGUGCGGAGUCUCUGUCCAUUUUAAUGGUAUGAUAUAUUACAACAAAGUAAGUGUUUGUACAUUACAUUAUACAGUAGUUUUGUUUGGCCAACUCAGUGUUAUAUUUCAGUAUACACUAGGUAAGUAUGGGAUUUACGAUCAAAAAUUUAAUUUAAUUUAGAAAAUAUAAAUGAAGUUAAUAAGAUCGAGAGGGAAUAUUGUGGUGAUGGCUCGCUAGACUGCUAGAUAUAUAUCUCUAGCCUUCAUGGUACCAGGUUAACAAUUGAUAAGAGGUAUGUUGAUAAGGUAUAUUGAUAUAUACCACGAUUAAAGAUAUCUUUAAUCGUGAUAUAUACCGCUACCGUGUUUAUCUUGUUUUUGAUAAGGUGAUUUAGUGUGAACUUCCGACCGUCGUUAUUGUAUUAUGAUUAUUUUUUUCGUUAAUUUAUUAAUUUUUGUAAGAUUUUUCGGGCCCCGUUUAAACUUUUAAAUCGUCUUUCGGGUGUUUACAAAGGGUCCUCUGCUGCGAUCGCACGUGGAAUAAUAUAUUUCACGUCGCUGUUAGAAAUUCGAAUGCCCGUCAUAGUGGUUCUAAGUUUUUCUUUCGAGAUAUCCUAUAAUUUUUUUUCCUGGAAGCAUUUGCCUUUUGACAUCCCCUAAUAACUAUAAAAUAAAAAUGUAAAAUACUCCUAUUGUACCCCGGCAUUUGAUUUGUUUUUGAAUUAGGUUUUGAGCUUCGGACCUUCUUAGACUCGUGCCCAAAAGCCAGACACUUAAAACAUCUCGUGUUUCUCUUUUCGGCCUUCCGAACCCUGUAGUUGACAACGCUGAUCCUUAACCACCCUGUUUUAAUCACAUAGCGAGCCUGGCUUACCUGUAGAAGGACUAGGGCUGUCUGUAAGAAGUCCUUAAGUUAAAAAUCUUAACUAACUUAUUCUGAAAUUUCUCAUCUUUCCAAUAAAUCCAAUGAAUGGCUCCGUGAACGUGUAAUUUCGGCCCUUAAAAACGACACCGUCAACAUCAUAAACGAAAAAGUUCUUUCCAUGUUCGAAGCUGAUAAAAAAAAACUAUAUUUCCAUAGAUACACUAACUAAUCAAGGUGAAACUAUAGAUAUACCGACUAAAUUUCUUAACUCAUUAAAUCCAUCAGGUCUCCUCCCUACACAAACUUGAUUUAAAAAUCAGUGCGCCUAUUAUUCUCAUGCGAAAUUUAAAUGCUCCCAAAUUUUGAACGAGAUUAAAAAUAUUAUCUUUGAAAAAAAACCUUAUUGAAGCUGAAAUUAUUGCCGGCUCAGCGAGUGGUAAAAUUUUAUA